rnacentral:rRNA from 1 species
CCUACGGGUGGCAGCAGUGAGGAAUAUUGGUCAAUGGACGAGCGUCUGAACCAGCCAAGUAGCGUGAAGGAUGACUGCCCUAUGGGUUGUAAACUUCUUUUAUAUGGGAAUAAAAUGUUCCACGUGUGGGAUUUUGUAUGUACCAUAUGAAUAAGGAUCGGCUAACUCCGUGCCAGCAGCCGCGGUAAUACGGAGGAUCCGAGCGUUAUCCGGAUUUAUUGGGUUUAAAGGGAGCGUAGGUGGAUUGUUAAGUCAGUUGUGAAAGUUUGCGGCUCAACCGUAAAAUUGCAGUUGAAACUGGCAGUCUUGAGUACAGUAGAGGUGGGCGGAAUUCGUGGUGUAGCGGUGAAAUGCUUAGAUAUCACGAAGAACUCCGAUUGCGAAGGCAGUUCACUGGACUGCAACUGACACUGAGGCUCGAAAGUGUGGGUAUCAAACAGGAUUAGAUACCCGUGUAGUC